rnacentral:rRNA from 1 species
AGAAGCUCGUAGUUGGAUUUCUGUGUUGGUGAGGCGGCCGGCCACUCGUGGUUGUAGCUAGUUAUCACCGGCGCAUCUUGUCACAAGCCACGCUGGCCUUAACUGGUUGGCGCUGGGGACUGACUCGUUUACUUUGAGAAAAUCAGAGUGUUCAAAGCAGGCUAUCGCCUUGAAUAUGUUAGCAUGGAAUAAUGAUAUAGGACUUUGGUUCUAUUUUGUUGGUUGUUCGAGAACCGAAGUAAUGAUUGAUAGGGACAGUUGGGGGCAUCAGUAUUCUGAAGCGAGAGGUGAAAUUCUUGGACCUUCGGAAGACUAACAACUGCGAAAGCAUUUGCCUAGGAUGUUCUCUUUAAUCAAGAACGAAAGUUGGGGGAUCGAAGACGAUCAGAUACCGUCGUAGUCUCAACUAUAAACUAUGCCAGCUAGGGAUUGGUGGACGUUUAUUUACGACUCCAUCAGCACCUUAUGAGAAAUCAAAGCAUUUGGGUUCCGGGGGGAGUAUGGUCGCAAGGCUGAAACUUAAAGGAAUUGACGGGAGGGCACCACCAGGAGUGGAGCCUGUGGCUUAAUUUGACUCAACACGGGAAAACUUACCAGGUCCGGACAUAGUAAGGAUUGACAGAUUGAUAGCUCUUUCU